rnacentral:rRNA from 1 species
GUGGCGAACGGGUGAGUAACACGUGGGAAAUCUGCCUAGGAGUGGGGGAUAACAUUCGGAAACGGAUGCUAAUACCGCAUAUCUUUUUGAACCGCAUGGUUCUUAAACGAAAGACGGCUUCGGCUGUCGCUCUUAGAUGAUCCCGCGGCGUAUUAGUUAGUUGGUGGGGUAAAGGCCUACCAAGACCAUGAUACGUAGCCGACCUGAGAGGGUGAUCGGCCACACUGGGACUGAGACACGGCCCAGACUCCUACGGGAGGCAGCAGUAGGGAAUCUUCCACAAUGGGUGAAAACCUGAUGGAGCAAUGCCGCGUGAAUGAAGAAGGUCUUCGGAUCGUAAAGUUCUGUUAUUAGAGAAGAACAAGUCAAGGAGUAACUGUCUUGACUUUGACGGUACCUAACCAGAAAGUCACGGCUAACUACGUGCCAGCAGCCGCGGUAAUACGUAGGUGACAAGCGUUGUCCGGAAUUAUUGGGCGUAAAGGGAGCGCAGGCGGUUGGAAUAGUCUGAUGUGAAAGCCCACG